rnacentral:rRNA from 1 species
UCUGGUGGUCAUAAAGCAGUGGUCCCACCCGUUCCCAUUCCGAACACGGCCGUGAAACGCUGCGUUGCCGAUGGUAGUGGUUUUAUAGAUUCCGCGAGAGUAGGUCGCCGCCAGUU